AGAGUUUGAUCCUGGCUCAGGAUGAACGCUAGCGGCAGGCCUAACACAUGCAAGUCGAGGGGUAAGGCUCUUUCGGGAGUACACGACCGGCGCACGGGUGAGUAACGCGUUUGCAAUCUACCUCUAACUGGGGCAUAGCCCGGAGAAAUUCGGAUUAAUACCCCAUAAUAUUAUAGAGAGGCAUCUCUUUAUAAUUAAAGCUCCGGCGGUUAGAGAUGAGCAUGCGUGUCAUUAGCUGGUUGGUGAGGUAACAGCUCACCAAGGCAACGAUGACUAGGGGGUCUGAGAGGAUGAUCCCCCACACUGGUACUGAGACACGGACCAGACUCCUACGGGAGGCAGCAGUGAGGAAUAUUGGGCAAUGGACGCAAGUCUGACCCAGCCAUGCCGCGUGCAGGAUGACUGCCCUAUGGGUUGUAAACUGCUUUUUUACGGGAAGAACAGUUCCUACGUGUAGGGAUUUGACGGUACCGUAAGAAUAAGCAUCGGCUAACUCCGUGCCAGCAGCCGCGGUAAUACGGAGGAUGCAAGCGUUAUCCGGAUUCAUUGGGUUUAAAGGGUGCGUAGGCGGAAUAUUAAGUCAGCGGUGAAAUCCUGCAGCUUAACUGUAGAACUGCCAUUGAUACUGGUAUUCUUGAAUGUAGUUGAGGUGGGCGGAAUGUGUAAUGUAGCGGUGAAAUGCUUAGAUAUUACACAGAACACCGAUUGCGAAGGCAGCUCACUAAACUAUGAUUGACGCUGAGGCACGAAAGCGUGGGGAGCAAACAGGAUUAGAUACCCUAGUAGUCC
rnacentral:rRNA from 1 species